rnacentral:tRNA from 1 species
GAGGGUAUAGCUCAGUGGUAGAGCACGUGCUUAGCAUGCACGAGGUCCUGGGUUCAAGCCCCAGUACCUCCA